GGUUAUGGCUCAGUGGUAAAGCGCUUGCCUAGCAUGCGUGAGGCACUGGGUUCAAUUCUCAGCACCA
rnacentral:tRNA from 1 species